rnacentral:rRNA from 1 species
AGCAGUCGCCGCGGUAAUACGAAGGGUGCAAGCGUUAAUCGGAAUUACUGGGCGUAAAGCGUGCGUAGGCGGUGAGUUAAGUCUGCUGUGAAAUCCCCGGGCUCAACCUGGGAAUGGCAGUGGAUACUGGCUCGCUAGAGUGUGUCAGAGGAUGGUGGAAUUCCCGGUGUAGCGGUGAAAUGCGUAGAGAUCUGGAGGAAUACCGGUGGCGAAGGCGGCCCCCUGGACAAAGACUGACGCUCAGGUGCGAAAGCGUGGGGAGCAAACAGGAUUAGAUACCCGGGUAGUCCCUGUCUCUUAUAC